AAACAAGAUAUGGAAGUUAUACUGAAAAAAACUUCCAUUUAUCUUUCAGAUGCCGUUUUCUGUUACUCUACAGUGCUUCAUAAAGCUAUGUGAGAUGUGCCCAUGCUGAUUCACACGGUCUGCAGUUGGCAUCUUUCAACAGAACUACCUGCCACUGUCAUCUGGAGGAAACCUAGAGUAAUCACUAGGAAAUACUUCUUAGAGAAGUUUUCAUUCUUUCUGAGAUGUCAUGAGAGAUCCGUCUGAGGAACUCGAAUGAGCAGGGAAUCAAGCUUAUCUCUCAAAGAAUCUCAGAUCACAUUUAAUAAUGGAAAUACUCCAGAGGACAGGUGGUUGAGGAUCCUUGACAGCAAGAACAUUUCAGUGUUACACACUAGAAGUCUUUUCCUAAACCUUUCACUUAACAUUUGAAGUAAACACGUUAUUCUGCCAGCAUCUCAGAUUUUGAUAUGUAUGCAUUCUUUUGAACCAGUGUGGGCAGCACUCCUCACCUUAAUUGACAUACUCCUUCCUGGUCACCUACUCUGUCUGCUUUGUGUCACUGCUCAUCCAGCCAGCAGCUGCUGAUCCUCUUCUUUGUUCAUAAUUUUUGUGAAGGUCACUUUCUGUGUAAAGACAUGCCAGCAUCUGCUCUGUCAGUGUCCCACACUUGGUGUUCAGAAAACAGGUUUUUUCCUUGUUUCAUUAGCAGUUUAUUUUCUGGAGAAAGGAUGAUAAACAAAGUCUUAAUAUGAUAAGUGUUGAUUCUAGCUCUAAGUAUCAGUCAGGAUAAAAAAAAAAACAACACAAUUAUUUGAGUGAUAAGGACCAUCGGUUUGAUGUGCAAUUAUUCAUUCUAAUUAUCAUUAACUAAGAUGAUUAGCUGAUGUUACGUAGGUCACAUUUCUUGGUAUAUUACAUUGAAUUGUAAAAAUGUAACAACUGGCAUAUUAUCCCCAAAUGCUAUUAAAUCAAUCUGUUGUGAGGGAAAAAUCCC
rnacentral:lncRNA from 1 species